rnacentral:misc_RNA from 1 species
GUUCAAACUUUUCAAAAGUUUCAAAUCUUUCAAAACUAAAUCCAAGAAAUGGAUUACAUGAAUUUAAUACCAUCAACUUGGUCUACUUGAUUAAUUAUUUAAUUAAUACAAACUCUAAAGGAUCAUUCUUGGUCCAACUUGUUCAACUUUGUUUUCUCAGUUCCUUUCAGUUUCAGCAGCAGCCCUUUUACCAAGUCAAUUGUUUUUUCCAAACCCCAUUUUCCAAUUUCAACUUCUUUGGUCUAUAUAUCAUCUGGUAAAACUUUUAGUCGUCAUUUUUCCAUCUGGGGUUUUGUUAUUUUGGUUUCUCAACCUUUCUUGCUGAU